CGAGCGCACCCUUGUCCUUAGUUGCCAUCAUUCAGUUGGGCACUCUAGGGAGACUGCCGGUGAUAAACCGCGAGGAAGGGGGGGAUGACGCCAAGUCCUCAUGGCCCUUACGGGAUGGGCUACACACGGGCUACAAGGGCGGUGACAGUGGGACGCGAAGGAGCGAUCUGGAGCAAAUCCUCAAAAACCGUCUCAGUUCGGAUUGCACUCUGCAACUCGAGUGCAUGAAGGCGGAAUCGCUAGUAAUCGUGGAUCAGAAUGCCACGGUGAAUACGUUCCCGGGCCUU
rnacentral:rRNA from 1 species